AGAUAUUAUAGAUAUCACAGAUGUCGAGAAAUCGUCAGGUGCUACUCUGCUCAGGAGCACAUCGUCUAAGCCAGGGGUGACAACUUUCGUGAUCCGAGGCACAAGUGAGCAAAUUCAACAAGCUUGCAGUCUGCUCGAGACUUCUACUGGAGAAAAGAAUGAAAAGAAUUCCGAAGAGUGUUCCCAAUCAAGAGAGAAGAAAAAGAGACGAAAGUCAAAUGCAAUUA